GGGGGGAUAGCUCAGUGGUGGGCAUUCGACUGCAGAUCGAGAGGUCCUCGUUUCAAACCUGGGAUCCCUUCU